GAUGAACGCUGGCUACAGGCUUAACACAUGCAAGUCGAGGGGAAACGACGGGGAAGCUUGCUUCCCCGGGCGUCGACCGGCGCACGGGUGAGUAACGCGUAUCCAACCUGCCUCUGACUGAGGGAUAACCCGUCGAAAGUCGGCCUAAUACCUCAUGGCAUCGUCUGCGGGCAUCCAACGACGAUUAAAGAUUUCAUCGGUCAGGGAUGGGGAUGCGUCUGAUUAGCUUGUUGGCGGGGUAACGGCCCACCAAGGCUACGAUCAGUAGGGGUUCUGAGAGGAAGGUCCCCCACAUUGGAACUGAGACACGGUCCAAACUCCUACGGGAGGCAGCAGUGAGGAAUAUUGGUCAAUGGGCGGGAGCCUGAACCAGCCAAGUAGCGUGCAGGAUGACGGCCCUAUGGGUGGUAAACUGCUUUUAGGCGGGGAUAAAGUGAGGGACGUGUCCUUCAUUGCAGGUACCGCAUGAAUAAGGACCGGCUAAUUCCGUA
rnacentral:rRNA from 1 species